rnacentral:snRNA from 1 species
AACUGGCUUGUGGCAGCCAAG